GCCGGGGUAGCUCAGUGGUAGAGCAGGGGCCUGAAAAGCCCUGUGUCGGUAGUUCAAUUCUACUCUUCGGCACCA
rnacentral:tRNA from 1 species